AGAGGUCCCAAGCGUUGUUCGGACUCACUGGGCGUAAAGGGUGCGUAGGCGGUCGGGUAAGUCUGGUGUGAAAUCUCCAAGCUUAACUUGGAAAUGGCAUUGGAUACUAUUCGGCUAGAGGAAUGGAGGGGAGACUGGAAUACUUGGUGUAGCAGUGAAAUGCGUAGAUAUCAAGUGGAACACCAGUGGCGAAGGCGAGUCUCUGGACAUUUCCUGACGCUGAGGCACGAAAGCCAGGGGAGCAAACGGGAUUAGAUACCCCGGUAGUCCUGGCCCUAAACGGUGCACGUUUGCUGUAAGAGGAAUCGACCCCUUUUGUGGCGAAGCUAACGCGUUAAACGUGCCGCCUGGGAAGUACGGCCGCAAGGUU
rnacentral:rRNA from 1 species